rnacentral:rRNA from 1 species
AACGAACGCUGGCGGCAUGCCUAACACAUGCAAGUCGAACGAGACCUUCGGGUCUAGUGGCGCACGGGUGCGUAACGCGUGGGAACCUGCCCUUAGGUUCGGAAUAACUCCCCGAAAGGGGUGCUAAUACCGGAUAAUGUCUUCGGACCAAAGAUUUAUCGCCUUUGGAUGGGCCCGCGUUGGAUUAGCUAGUUGGUAGGGUAAAAGCCUACCAAGGCGACGAUCCAUAGCUGGUCUGAGAGGAUGAUCAGCCACACUGGGACUGAGACACGGCCCAGACUCCUACGGGAGGGAGCAGUGGGGAAUAUUGGACACUGGGCGAAAGCCUGAUCAAGCAAUGCCGCGUGAGUGAUGAAGGCCUUAGGGUUGUAAAGCUCUUUUACCCGGGAUGAUAAUGACAGUACCGGGAGAAGAAGCUCCGGCUAACUCCGUG